rnacentral:rRNA from 1 species
UACGACUACAUAUCAGGCAUAUCAAUAAGCGGAGGAAAAGAAACUAACUAGGAUUCCCUCAGUAACGGCGAGUGAAGCGGGAAGAGCUCAAAUUUGAAAUCUUCAAGGUUUUACCUUGACGAAUUGUAGUUUAAAGAAGUGUUUUCUGUUGGUGUUUUGGUAAAAGUUCUUUGGAAUAGGACAUCAUAGAGGGUGAGAAUCCCGUAUUUGACCAUUACUUCCAGCGUUGUGAUACACUUUCAAAGAGUCGGAUUGUUUGGGAAUGCAGUCCAAAAUGGGUGGUAAAUUUCAUCUAAAGCUAAAUAUUGGCGAGAGACCGAUAGCGAACAAGUACCGUGAGGGAAAGAUGAAAAGAACUUUGAAAAGAGAGUUAAACAGUACGUGAAAUUGUCAAAAGGGAAGCGUUUGACACCAGUGUUGUUUUCUCGAAAAUCAAUUAAAAAUAGGUUGGAUUUUGUAUUGUGAUGACUUUAUCAGCUUCCUGUACUUUUUUCUUACUAUUUUUAAUGCACUUUUCGUUUAACAAGUCAACAUCAAUUUCUUUUGUUGUAAAAGAGUCAUUGGAAGGUGGCUUUCAUUUCGGUGAAAGUGUUUAUAGCCUUUGACUUCCUGCAAUCGGAGAGAUUGAGGUCUGCAGCGUAGAUCCUUCGGGGUUAGAUACAUUUGUGCUAAGUUAUAGUUUUUCAUAGACAACAUGUUGACUAUGAUUAAUCAUGUAGCUUACUCGCUUAUGCUAUUUUACCUACGCUUAGGAUGUUGAUCUCUCACAGUCGAGC